UCUUGCUAUACGUCUUCCGGGACUCGGCGCAAAGCACACCGGGAAAUGUAGUUCUCUGUGAAGCGUCCGUCGGAAAGCCGCUUGUAGCGAGUGCGCAUGUCUUACCCAUCCUCUUAGAGAGCGAGAAUCUAUAAAGACGCUCCGCAGGGAUGUCCCUCAUCUACAGUAUAUCUUGGUUCUGCUGCUGAUGUCCACUUUCCAAACCGAACAAAGUCUAAAAGAAAGUGCCAUCAGAUGUGGUCAUGCGUCCCAAACAUAAGGAGAUAUUCCCUCAGCCUCCACCCGGCCACUGACUUUAGUGCCCACACCACGAGGAACCCUUUUCAGCGCACUGAAGAUGAAAGCUCCUUUCUUCUAACCUAGAGAGGCGACCUCUUGUUUUUUGUACAUUUCUGUGAAUAAGGAGACCCCUUGAGAUUUGUAUGUGCUGACCUCUAACAUAUGUCACGCGUUACCAGAUCACCUUGCAAGCGCCUCUCUCCAGAGAAAACAAACCCAAUUUUGACUGGCUUUACUCAUAAUCUACAUUUUCUAUUCUUUAUUAAAGGGACAUUUCCACCAAACAAUGUCCCCUUUUUACAAAAAAAGAAAACAGCUCUGUGUAUUUGUCUUCCAAAUAAAUUCAUAUCGCUCUCUCAACAGUAUCUCUUCACAGUGUGCAGAAUGUAUAGGGAAUGCAACCGUAUAAUAAAAUUUGCCUGAUGGAAAAAUGUAAUCCUAAAAAAUUUUCCAAAUUCACAGCCAUUCAAAAAUUUUAGUGGUUUUAAGGUCAAUAAAGUUUAAGUUGAAAGUAGUAUGGG